GAUGAAGAACGCAGCGAAAUGCGAUAAGUAAUGUGAAUUGCAGAAUUCAGUGAAUCAUCGAAUCUUUGAACGCUCCUUGCGCUCCUUGGUAUUCCGAGGAGCAUGCCUGUUUGAGUGUCAUUAAAUUCUCAAUCUCUACAACUUUUGUGAUGUUUAGAUUGGAAGUGGGGGUUGUUGUGUGGAAUCUAAUUCCUCACUCCCUUUAAAUGCAUUAGCUGGAAUGCCUCUGCAUAUCUGACUAUCAGUGUGAUAAUUAUCUAUGCUGUAGUCGUUGCAUGAGGGGUAUCUGCUUCAUAAAUCGUCGUAAGACAAUUCUAUAUGACCAUCUUGACCUCAAAUCAGGUAGGACUACCCGCUGAACUUAAGCAUAUCAAUAAGCGGAGGA
rnacentral:misc_RNA from 1 species